rnacentral:rRNA from 1 species
GGGUAAAAUUAAUAAUUUAAGUUUAAUAAAAAAAAUUUUAAUAUUAAAAAGAAAUAAUGGGGGUUUGAGUAUUUUUAAUAGAAAAAAUUAAUAUAUUUAUAGUUAAUUAUUACUGUAAAGGAAUUUAUAAAUAGUUGAAAUUAAUUAAUAAAAAAGUAAAUUUAAUUUAUUGUAUCUUGUGUAUCAGAGUUUAUUAAAUAAUAAUAAUUUAUUUAAAUAAAUCUCGAAUUUAAAAGAGUUAAUUAAUUAUAAAAGUUAAUGUUGUAUAAUUAUUUUUAAUAAUUAAUUAGAAAUGAAAUGUUAUUCGUUUUUAAAUAUAUCUAGUUUUUUUAGAAAAAAAUUUAAUUUUAAAUUUAAAUAAUUUUAUAAUUUUUUUUAUUAAUUAUAAAAAUUUAAAAUUUAAUAAUUUAGGGGAUAAGCUUUAAAUUAAAUUUUUAUAAUUAAAAUUAAUUUAAAAUUAAAAUUUUUAAUAUUUAUAUUGUUUAUAAAUUAUAAUUUAUUAUAAAAAAUUUUAAUUACAAAUAAAAUUUAAAUAAAAAUUUAAUUUUUUAUAAAAGAAAUAAUUUAUAAUUAAAUAAAAUUAGAUAUAAUGAUAAAAUUAGUAUAAUAUUAUAAAUAAAGUUAAAUAUAUUAAUUAGAUAAAUUAAAGGAAUUCGGCAAAAUUUUAUAUUCACUUGUUUAUCAAAAACAUGUCUUUUUGUUAAUAAUUUAAAGUCUAAUCUGCCCACUGAUAAUUAAUAUUAAAGGGCUGCAGUAUAUUGACUGUACAAAGGUAGCAUAAUCAUUAGUCUUUUAAUUGAAGACUUGUAUGAAAGAUUUGAUGAAAUAUAAACUGUCUCUAAUUUAAUAAUAGAAAUUAAUUUUUUAGUUAAAAAGCUAAAAUAUAAUUAAAAGACGAGAAGACCCUAUAGAGUUUUAUAUUUUAUUUAUUUUAUAUUUAUUAUAUAAAUAAUUAUAUAAAAUAAAUAAAAUAUUUUGUUGGGGUGAUAGAAAAAUUUAAUAAACUUUUUUUUUUUUUUUACAUAGAUAAGUGGUUAAUUGAUCCAUUAUUAGUGAUUAAAAGAAAAAAUUACCUUAGGGAUAACAGCGUAAUUUUUUUUUUUAGUACAUAUAAGAAAAAAAGUUUGCGACCUCGAUGUUGGAUUAAGAUAAAAUUUAAAUGCAAAAGUUUAAAAUUUUGAUCUGUUCGAUCAUUAAAAUCUUACAUGAUCUGAGUUCAAACCGGUGUAAGCCAGGUUGGUUUCUAUCUUUAAUAAAUAUAAAUAUUUUAGUACGAAAGGAUCAAAUAUUUAAAAUAGUUUUAUUUUUAUUGAAUUUUAUUAAUUUUUUGUUA